rnacentral:rRNA from 1 species
CCAGAGAACUUUCCAGAGAUGGAUUGGUGCCUUCGGGAACUCUGAGACAGGUGCUGCAUGGCUGUCGUCAGCUCGUGUUGUGAAGUGUUGGGUUAAGUCCCGCAACGAGCGCAACCCUUAUCCUUUGUUGCCAGCGAUUUGGUCGGGAACUCAAAGGAGACUGCCGGUGAUAAACCGGAGGAAGGUGGGGAUGACGUCAAGUCAUCAUGGCCCUUACGGCCAGGGCUACACACGUGCUACAAUGGCGCAUACAAAGAGAAGCGACCUCGCGAGAGCAAGCGGACCUCAUAAAGUGCGUCGUAGUCCGGAUUGGAGUCUGCAACUCGACUCCAUGAAGUCGGAAUCGCUAGUAAUCGUGGAUCAGAAUGCCACGGUGAAUACGUUCCCGGGCCUUGUACACACCGCCCGUCACACCAUGGGAGUGGGUUGCAAAAGAAGUGGAUAGCUUAACCUUCGGGAGGGCGUUCACCACUUUGUGAUUCAUGACUGGGGUGAAGUCGUAACAAGGUAAGCGUAGUGCU